rnacentral:rRNA from 1 species
GAUGAACGCUGGCGGCGUGCCUAAUACAUGCAAGUCGUGCGAACAGACGAGGAGCUUGCUCCUCUGACGUUAGCGGCGGACGGGUGAGUAACACGUGGAUAACCUACCUAUAAGACUGGGAUAACUUCGGGAAACCGGAGCUAAUACCGGAUAAUAUAUUGAACUGCAUGGUUCAAUAGUGAAAGACGGUUUUGCUGUCACUUAUAGAUGGAUCCGCGCCGCAUUAGCUAGUUGGUAAGGUAACGGCUUACCAAGGCAACGAUGCGUAGCCGACCUGAGAGGGUGAUCGGCCACACUGGAACUGAGACACGGUCCAGACUCCUACGGGAGGCAGCAGUAGGGAAUCUUCCGCAAUGGGCGAAAGCUUGACGGAGCAACGCCGCGUGAGUGAUGAAGGUCUUCGGAUCGUAAAACUCUGUUAUUAGGGAAGAACAAAUGUGUAAGUAACUAUGCACGUCUUGACGGUACCUAAUCAGAAAGCCACGGCUAACUACGUG